rnacentral:rRNA from 1 species
UACGGAGGGUGCGAGCGUUGUCCGGAAUCACUGGGCGUAAAGGGCGCGUAGGUGGCCCGUGGAAGUCUGCGGUGAAAGCCCGGCGCUCAACGCCGGGUCGGCCGUGGAUACUCUCGGGCUUGAGCUUACUAGAGGCAGAUGGAAUUCCGGGUGUAGCGGUGGAAUGCGUAGAGAUCCGGAAGAACACCAGUGGCGAAGGCGGUCUGCUGGGGUAAUGCUGACACUGAUGCGCGACAGCGUGGGGAGCAAACAGG